GUGCUGGCUUUGGCAACGCAUAUACUAAAAUUGGAACAUACAGAGAAGAAAAGCAUGGCCCCGGUGCAAGAAUGACACAUAAAUUCGUGAAGCGUUCCAUAUUUUU